rnacentral:lncRNA from 1 species
GAUUUGUAAAUUAACUCUAGUGGAUAAGAAUUAAUAUUUAAAUCUAUUGUUGAUAAAUUAAAGAUUUAAAUAUUAAUUAGAGUAUGAAUCUAAGUAGAUUAGGAUAAUAUUUAAAUCUAUAGGAGAUAAACUAAAUAUAGAUUUAAAUAUUUAUUAGAGUAGGAAUCCUAAAUAUACUAGGAUUUGGGUACAUUUUAUUGUAAACACUAUAUAAGCAUCAUGUGGGUUGCUUUUGGAGUGAUUGUACGGCCAAAAAGUUGAAGCUCUUUGGUAGGUUGUACCAAAGAGAGAGAGUUGGCCGGUUGCAUGCACCUAGUGCACGGGUGCAUGUGAGAGAGAAAGAGAGUUGUCUUUUAGAUUUAUAAAAGACGAGAGAAUGGUAGAAGAGAUUCAGAAAGAGGGUUCGGGUUGUAGCUACUCUGUUGCAGAAGAGGAGUCAGGUGUAAUCUUUUCUUAUUUAAUAAAUCUUAUUUUACCUGCAUAUUUUUUGUUUUGGUUUUUCUCUCUUUUGUGAUUGUAUCAGCUUUUGCUGAGAAGACGAGUUUGACGAGUAUAUGGUAAAAAUCCGAUUUGACGCU